rnacentral:lncRNA from 1 species
UGAUGCACAUAUUAUGGUCGGGAGUAGUGUUGGACCUGAUUGGAUAAGAGCAGCACUGCAAACUAGUUUGUACUUUAGUUCAAGUAGCUUGAAAUGAAAAUGGAAGUGUAAUAUGAUUAAAGGUGAACUGGGGUACAGGGAUCUCGGCCGUCGUGGAAGGUCACUGAUACAAAGAUGGAUGGAGAUCUUAGUUUAUUGAGGGCGAGAAAUGAAUCCAAGACCAAAACAGUAGGAUGCGAGAUCUCGCAAGUCUCAGCUGAUAUUAUAGAAAUUAAGAUUCUCUGAGAUCUUGAUUAUUAUAAUUAGCACAUAUUACUUCUGUAUUUAGCAAUUGAUUUGAAUAAUUAAUAAACAAAAGAUUAUUUCAAAUUCCUAAGAGGUAGAUUAGGAAAUAUCAGCCAAUAUUUUGAUAUCAUCUCAGCCUAUAUAUCGAGC